GACGAACGCUGGCGGCGUGCUUAACACAUGCAAGUCGAACGAAGUGGCGAACGGGUGAGUAACGCGUAAUCAACCUGCCCUUCAGGGGGGGAAAACAGGUGGAACUGACUGCUAAUACCGCAUACUGAAGGAGGGGAUUGCGUCUGAUUAGCUAGUUGGAGGGGUAACGGCCGACCAAGGCGAUGAUCAGUAGCCGGUCUGGUAGGAUGGACUGCCACAUUGGGACUGGGACACGGCCCCGACUCCUACGGGGGGCAGCAAUGGGGAAUUUUCCGGAAUGGACGAAAGUCUGGCGAAGCAAAGCCGCGUGAGUUAUGACGGCCUUCGGGUUUUAAAGCUCUGUUAAUCGGGACGCGUUACCGGAAUAGAAAGCCACGGCUAACUACGUGCCAGCAGCCGCGGUAAUAC
rnacentral:rRNA from 1 species